GACGAACGCUGGCGGCGUGCCUAAUACAUGCAAGUUGAGCGCUGAAGGUUGGUACUUGUACCAACUGGAUGAGCAGCGAACGGGUGAGUAACGCGUGGGGAAUCUGCCUUUGAGCGGGGGACAACAUUUGGAAACGAAUGCUAAUACCGCAUAAAAACUUUAAACACAAGUUUUAAGUUUGAAAGAUGCAAUUGCAUCACUCAAAGAUGAUCCCGCGUUGUAUUAGCUAGUUGGUGAGGUAAAGGCUCACCAAGGCGAUGAUACAUAGCCGACCUGAGAGGGUGAUCGGCCACAUUGGGACUGAGACACGGCCCAAACUCCUACGGGAGGCAGCAGUAGGGAAUCUUCGGCAAUGGACGAAAGUCUGACCGAGCAACGCCGCGUGAGUGAAGAAGGUUGUCGGUUCGUAAAACUCUGUUGGUAGAGAAGAACGUUGGUGAGAGUGGAAAGCUCAUCAAGUGACGGUAACUACCCAGAAAGGGACGGCUAACUACGUG
rnacentral:rRNA from 1 species